rnacentral:lncRNA from 1 species
GACUUCGAGCACAGGAGUUGCGUGCAACCCGUAUUAAGUGUAAUAGGGAGUGAUGGAGCUCUUUGGAAUACUAUGAGAAAACUAUUUAUGGAAAGAUUUGCCAUAGAUUAGAAUAUGAGUUAUUUUGUAAUUAGUAAGCCUCCAUUUGGCAAACUUCAUAAAUUAAAUAUAAAUGAUCAAACUUUAUUUUCAACCACAUUCCAAUGGAUCCACAAACACAAGUACUAAAUU